AAUGAUAUUAUUUAAUUUGUUUCGGAUACAGUUAAAUUUUUAAUAAAUGAUUUAAUCUUAGAGCUUAUUGGGUGGAAUCAUUAAGUUUUAAUAUAAAUUGAUUUUUUAUUUUGAGGCUGGGAAAUUAAAUAUUUAGACUAGGAUUAGAUACCCUAUUAUUUUUAACGUAAAGUUGUUUCUGUAUUAGUAUUAGUUAUUUUCUUGAAAAUUAAAAAAUUUGGCGGUAUUUUAGUCUGUUCAGAGGAACCUGUCUAGUAAUUGAUGAUCCACGAGUUAAUGAACUUUUUCUUUAAGCUUAUAUAUCGUCGUAGUUUGAAAAUUUUUAUAGGAUGUUAAUUUUCAUGAUUUUUAUCGAAAGUAAAUCAGAUCAAGGUGUAGUUUAUGAAGAAGGAAGAGAUGGGUUACAAUAAAUUUAUUUAGUGAUUUUAGUUUGUAAAAUUGAAUGAAUUCGGAUUUGAAAGUAAUGUUAUUUAGAUUAUUAAUAUGAUUAUAGCUCUAAAAUAUGUACAUAUCGCCCGUCGCUUCCACUUUAAAGUGAAAUAAGUCGUAACAAAGUAGGCUUACUGGAAAGUGUGCCUGGGAAGACGGACUAGAGCUUGUCAAAAAGCAUUUUAUUUACACUAAAAAGUUAUCUGUGAAAAUCAGUUUAGUUUGAAUAGAUUCGAUUAUUAAUUAAAUUAUGUUUAUUUUUAUUUAUAAUAAGAAAAUUUUUUUUUAUUAUUAGUUAAGAAAAAAUUGUUAUAAUUAUAGAGUAAUAGUACUGUGAAGGAGUUGUGGUAUGUGUAUCAAAGAAGGGUUGAUUUUU
rnacentral:rRNA from 1 species